AGACAGGAUAUCAACAAAGAGAGCCAAGAAAAUUGUUUGUUACGCGAUAUAUACUCACUUGAGCUAAAAGAAAAGCCACAAAGGACAAGUUCAAUAUGCAGGUUUACAAUUUGGAAGUGGCGCAGGUUCUUUGGAAUGUCUACAACCUUUCAGGAGAAUUUUUUUUGAAAAGCAUGGCACAGCAAGAAAAAGAUAUAAGACACUACAAGACAUUCCAAGA